GUCUGCAUAUAUUAUCUUCUUUACCUCUACUGCAUGUGAUUAAUAAAUUUAACUAUGAUGAAAAUAAAUUUAUAAAAUAUUAAUUGCCAGCUUUUGGUAUUUAUUUGUGCUGCUUUAACAAACAUCAGUUGAUGUAUUUGUCAAUUUUAUGUUAUCUUAUACAUCCUAAAUUUUGACUACAAAGUUCAAAUUUAAUUUCAACAAUUUUCAAAAAAAAAAAAAAAAAAAAUUCACUAGGCUCUUUAUCUUGAGAUACAGCUGAAUAUUUGCUUAUUUGUAGUACAUUUAUUAAUGCUUAAAUAUUUUUUUAUAUUAUACAACCCCAUGACCCAAAUCAAAUUUAUUGGAAAUUUCAUGGAUUUAGAACUUUAAAAAAAAAUCACUUUUUGGGUUCAUUUACUUUUAUCUAUUGGAAAGCUUUAUCUCAUUCACAUGUGGAAGAAUUAAGGCAUUACUGGGGUUAAGUCAUAAAGUAAUGAAGUCCCAUCGAUUAUUAUUGCAGUUAACAAUUAUUUUUAAUUAGUUCAGUAAUCGCACAUCAACGCUGGGGGUAUUAUACAACUCGUCUCGAAGAGUUAUUGUCCGUUAUCGAGCCCGAGUUAUCUUUCUUCUUUCGAAACCGUAAACAAAUGGCGGCCAAAAUCUACGUGAACGACAGUCUCGAUUUACAAGUAUUAUUGCCAAGAAAACGAAAACGGAAACGGGUUUUGAAAGAAAAUAAUUCAGUAGCUCAUAGAAAUAGAAUUUUGAAACACACGUGUGCUUAAGAAAUGUUGCCGAAUGGAAGUGAAAGUGAUAUACGGUAGGCAAUGACAAAAAUUAUCUUCCGACUCAAUCAAUCUACGUUUUCGACACGCGUUUUUAAGGUAAACUGCUUCUCACUCUAUGAAAAGGUUACGGACGCUCAACCUAUGAUAUUUAUCUACAUUUUAUCAAAAUUUGACCGCACAACUCGCUACAGUUCCCGAGUUUUCAAUGACCAAAACUACGAGGUCGUUUUUGCUGAAGCACAUGUGAAAUUAAUCCCGGUCAGGCAAACGGCUCGUGCAAAUAAAUUUCGGCCAGGGAAUCCCGCGAAAAAAAUAAAUUCAGUAGUGAAAGUGUUAAGG
rnacentral:lncRNA from 1 species